GGAGUUUGGGCCGUGUCUCAGUCCCAAUGUGGCCGUUCACCCUCUCAGGCCGGCUACUGAUCGUCGACUUGGUGAGCCGUUACCUCACCAACUAUCUAAUCAGACGCGGGUCCAUCUUACACCGAUAAAUCUUUUCACACUAUAUCAUGCGAUACCGUGCGCUUAUGCGGUAUUAGCAGUCGUUUCCAACUGUUGUCCCCCUCUAUCAGGUAGUUUCCCAAAUGUUACUCACCCGUCCGCCACUCGUCAGCUAGAAAAGCAAGCUUUUCUACUGUUACCGUUCGACUUGCAUGUAUUAGGCCUGCCGCCAGCGUUCAAU
rnacentral:rRNA from 1 species